rnacentral:misc_RNA from 1 species
GAUGAAGAACGUAGCGAAAUGCGAUAAGUAAUGCGAAUUGCAGAAUUCAGUGAGUCAUCGAAUCUUUGAACGCACAUUGCGCCCCCUGGCAUUCCGGGGGGCAUGCCUGUCCGAGCGUCAUUUCUGCCCUCCAGCCCGGCUGGGUGUUGGGCGCUGUCCCCCCGGGGACACGCCCCAAAGGCAGUGGCGGCGCCGCGUCGGGUCCUCGAGCGUAUGGGGCUUUGUCACCCGCUCGGGACGGACUCGUCGGCGCUGGUCUUCCUCCAGGCGACCCUUCGGGGCUCGUCUUCCUUCGGUUGACCUCGGAUCAGGUAGGGUUACCCGCUGAACUUAAGCAUAUCAAUAAGCGGAGGA